GAUGAACGCUGGCGGCGUGCCUAAUACAUGCAAGUCGAGCGAACAGAUGAGAAGCUUGCUUCUCUGAUGUUAGCGGCGGACGGGUGAGUAACACGUGGGUAACCUACCUAUAAGACUGGGAUAACUCCGGGAAACCGGGGCUAAUACCGGAUAAUAUUUUGAACCGCAUGGUUCAAUAGUGAAAGACGGUUUCGGCUGUCACUGAUAGAUGGACCCGCGCCGUAUUAGCUAGUUGGUAAGGUAACGGCUUACCAAGGCGACGAUACGUAGCCGACCUGAGAGGGUGAUCGGCCACACUGGAACUGAGACACGGUCCAGACUCCUACGAGAGGCAGCAGUAGGGAAUCUUCCGCAAUGGGCGAAAGCCUGACGGAGCAACGCCGCGUGAGUGAUGAAGGUCUUCGGAUCGUAAAACUCUGUUGUUAGGGAAGAACAAAUUUGUUAGUAACUGAACAAGUCUUGACGGUACCUAACCAGAAAGCCACGGCUAACUACGUGCCAGCAGCCGCCGUAA
rnacentral:rRNA from 1 species